GGAGAGAUGUCCGAGAGGUCGAAGGUCACUGACUCGAAAUCAGUCGUACCUGAAAAGGUACCGAGGGUUCGAAUCCCUCUCUCUCCG
rnacentral:tRNA from 1 species